rnacentral:rRNA from 1 species
CCCUUAGAUGUUCUGGGCCGCACGCGCGCUACACUGAUGCAUUCAACGAGUCCAACCUUGACCGGGAGGUCCGGGUAAUCUUUGAAACUGCAUCGUGAUGGGGCUAGAUUAUUGCAAUUAUUAAUCUUCAACGAGGAAUGCCUAGUAAGCGUGAUUCAUCAAAUCGCGUUGAUUACGUCCCUGCCCUUUGUACACACCGCCCGUCGCUCCUACCGAUUGAGUGUGUUGGUGAGGAGUUUGGAUUGGCCUCGGAAGGUGGUUCGCCACCGUCCGUAGCUGAGAAGUUCUCCAAACCGCCCCACUUAGAGGAAGGAGAAGUCGUAACA